GGCUUAAACUUAAAGGAAUUGACGGGGACCCGCACAAGCGGUGGAUGAUGUGGAUUAAUUCGAUGCAACGCGAAAAACCUUACCUACCCUUGACAUGUCAGAGAUCCCUGAGAGAUUGGGGAGUGCCGCAAGGAAUCUGAACACAGGUGCUGCAUGGCUGUCGUCAGCUCGUGUCGUGAGAUGUUGGGUUAAGUCCCGCAACGAGCGCAACCCUUGUCGUUAAUUGCCAUCAUUGAGUUGGGCACUUUAACGAGACUGCCGGUGACAAACCGGAGGAAGGUGGGGAUGACGUCAAGUCCUCAUGGCCCUUAUGGGUAGGGCUUCACACGUCAUACAAUGGUCGGUACAGAGGGUUGCCAAGCCGCGAGGUGGAGCCAAUCCCAGAAAGCCGAUCGUAGUCCGGAUCGCAGUCUGCAACUCGACUGCGUGAAGUCGGAAUCGCUAGUAAUCGCGGAUCAGCAUGUCGCGGUGAAUACGUUCCCGGGUCUUGUACACACCGCCCGUCACACCAUGGGAGUGGGUUCUACCAGAAGUAGUUAGCCUAACCGUAAGGAGGGCGAUUACCACGGUAGGAUUCAUGACUGGGGUGAAGUCGUAACAAGGUAGCCGUAUCGGAAGGUGCGGCUGGAUCACCUCCU
rnacentral:rRNA from 1 species